UUUUCCUAGGCAACGUCCUAACCUCUCAUGACUCUGGGAGGAUUUGGUGGGGGGGGGGGAGAGUUGCUGGCAAUGCACGCGAUGCAGGGAGAACCCUGACUAAAUCCUACUGUGACUUGAAUCUGAAUUAAACCUGGAUCGGGGCCCGCUAGCAUGAAUUGCUUCCUUCCGUUCAAGUACUCUUGGAGGAGGCUGACCUUUCCACCCCGCUGCUCACACUGCUGGUGUGUGGCCUGUCCAAGAGCUACGAGGUCGUGCCGCUGAGGGAUGUGUGGUCAAUGCCGACCGUCACUAACUGCCCACCCGAGUCACAGGGAUGUGACCAUGGCUCAGCAGGAAGAUUGCUUUUGCAAAUUUCUUCAUCAUGUGUUCUUAAAUGUCCUCCCCACAUCCUCGAAUGAGGCCGACAUUAUCUAUUGCUGACUGCCUGGAGACCGAAGCCAGAAACUGGGGAAGAGAGCGAGUUCUAAGUGUGUACUUUAUGUCUUAACUCAAUUCGUCCUGAGUCCUGAAGUUGUUUACUCUGGCCCAUUGUCAAGCCUUUGCAGCGGGGGAGAGCUGGUGGCGGAAGGGGUCACUCCCAAGGGUGCCAUGAGUCCUUUGCAGCGGACUCCUUCCAUGCUGCUGAAGAAUCACUCAGAGCUGAUUUUCCCCCUGGAAACCAAGAACGUUUUCUACACAAGCAUUUCUUUGUAAUCUCAGUUAGCUUUUUACGAUAAUUCCCGCUUCUAGUUUAAAGACUACAGAUGCUGUGUGGGUAGAGGGUGGGAAUGAGGGGAUAAAAGAAGGGAGGAUCUAGGUGUCUCUCACUUAGUAAAUGUGGUAAUGCUUUCUUCCAUGGACAAAGCACAUCAACUAAUAAGAAAUGCAGACCGUUUGUGGUACCACUGCAAAAGCUUGUAGCUGGCUUGAGGAGGCUUGACUAGAUGCCCUACUUUGCUCCUUCCCUCCCAAGGAGACCUGACCCUUUGCGAGGAGAUGAUCUGAACCGCAUCUUUAUGUUUGGGGACAUCACAAAUGUUAGGUACCUGAGCUCAGCCACUCAUCAAAUAUUACCUUGCUUUAUAAAAGAGACCAGAAACUCAAGUACCAUAGAAACAUUAGGACACACACACACAUCUCCUUAGUAGCUAAAUUGUUUUCUCCAGGGAAUGUCCCUAACCAACGGAAAAACACUUAUAUGUUCUUUGUAAGCCAUUUGCUAUUUAGUGUUGAUUUGAGGCCAUUUGCCUAUGCAUGGGUUUUCCUUAUCCCGGCCAGGUGAUGGUGGCGCAUGCCUUUACUCCCAGCACAUGGGAGACAGAGGCAGACAGAUCUCUGUGAGUUCAAGGUCAGCCUGGUCUACAAGAGCUAGUUCCAGGACAGGCUCCAAAGCUACAGAGAAA